AUUUUAUUAGACGUUGACUGUCACGUGUCGUGCGUUUAUUAGACGUUAAUUUUGUGCAUCUAAUUAAUGUCUACAUCCAAUAAAAUCAUGACACAUGACGGUCAAGAUAC
rfam:Glycine max cultivar Williams 82 chromosome 12, whole genome shotgun sequence.